GGUAGUGUGGCCGAGUGGUCUAUGGCGGUGGUUUUAGGCACCAGUCUCUUCGGAGGCAAGGGUUCGAAUCCCUUCACUGUGA
rnacentral:tRNA from 1 species